GUCAGGAUGGCCGAGUGGUCUAAGGCGCUGCGUUCAGGUCGCAGUCCACUUCCUGUGAGCGUCGGUUCGAAUCCAACUUCUGACA